AUUGAACGCUGGCGGCAUGCCUUACACAUGCAAGUCGAACGGCAGCACGGGAGCAAUCCUGGUGGCGAGUGGCGAACGGGUGAGUAAUGUAUCGGAACGUGCCCAUUCGUGGGGGAUAACGUAGCGAAAGCUACGCUAAUACCGCAUACGAUCUAUGGAUGAAAGCGGGGGAUCGCAAGACCUCGCGCGAUUGGAGCGGCCGAUAUCAGAUUAGGUAGUUGGUGGGGUAAAGGCUCACCAAGCCGACGAUCUGUAGCUGGUCUGAGAGGACGACCAGCCACACUGGGACUGAGACACGGCCCAGACUCCUACGGGAGGCAGCAGUGGGGAAUUUUGGACAAUGGGCGCAAGCCUGAUCCAGCAAUGCCGCGUGCAGGAUGAAGGCCUUCGGGUUGUAAACUGCUUUUGUACGGAACGAAACGGCGAGCUCUAAUACAGUUUGCUAAUGACGGUACCGUAAGAAUAAGCACCGGCUAACUACGUGCCAGCCGCCGCAGUAA
rnacentral:rRNA from 1 species